GCAGCUCUGUCACCGCCCACUCUGGGGGCGGGGCGAUUUCCCUUGGGUGCACGCGCAGCUUUCUCUAGUUAGUCUGCGGACCCCAGAGGCUGCUCUCCGGCCCGCGCCCUGGACCCCCUUUCUCCACAGGCGCCCCCGAACCGGGGCCUUCGGAACCCAGGGCUCAGGAGGACUGAGCAGGACCCGGCCGCAGCUGCCGCGGGGCCUUCCGGUCACGGCAGCCUCUGGACUCAGUGCAGCUGCCCAGGGCCUCCGUGGCUGAGCCUGGGGGUUCUCUGGACAGGAUCCGAACCACUGGCAGAUGUGGGUGCCUGUUGCUGUUGAUUUCUCAACAAUGUUGCAGUGGAUUCAUUUCUGAGAGGAACAGCGUGGUGGGGGCAAGAGGCGCGGAGUCACUACACAGACCCCGGGAGUCCAGUGAAAGCAGGCUUGAGGAGCCCUCAGGAGGAUGCUAGGACUCCGGUAUGCAGUGGGCUGGCCGUCAGGACCACGGGGUGGUGUGCAGUCCCCGCCUGCAGCUUCUUUGAACCCUGGGGCAUCAGCUUUCCAAUCUCUGUGUGGUGAGGAAGAACUUGAACUUCCUGUAUGACCCGAUUUCCUUGAGUGAGGCAGCAGAUCUCAAGCAGGCCUCUCGGCGUAGGGGUCUGGGUCAGUUUUCUUGUUGCUAAUCGUGCAGCAGCACAGGCUCGGUGCGUGAGAAGGAAGCGGUAUUAUUGACCUCAUGGUUUUGGUGCAGGGUCUAGGGGCAGCAUCUGGUGAUGGUCUUCUUGUUGGUAGAGGCCUGGGUGGCACAGAGACCAGUGGACAGACAGAAGGGGUGCAGAGGGGGCCAAUCCAAAGUGGUCUAUGUUGCAGUCCCCUAGGGAUAAGGCAUUAAUCCAUGAACACAUGAGUGGAUUUAUCCUGAUCACUUCCUGCAGGGCCUCACCUGUUCUCACUGCUGAAUUUCUCAUCACUGGAUUAACUGUGCCCAUGAGUUUCAGAGGGGAUAAACCAUGUUUAAUAGAGAGCAUGCAGGCUUGCAGGAGGUCCCUAAAUUUCCAGGUCUCCUCCCACCUAGUUUUGAGAUUUAGUGCUUCUGCCCCUCAUGUGGAAGAAGGCACCCUUUCUUAGGGCUUUCAAGGAAAGAAGGAAAGGACUUCAAGCUUUUCUUCCUACUAGGAUCACCUAUUAUUUUCAUUGCUUGCAACCUCAUCCGAUUUUCUGAAUCACGAACAUGCAUAUUGCCUGAGUAUUACCAAGAAAAUCUUACAAGUUGUCAUGUGACAUGCUAGAAAGGACCCGUGUGUGUUGAAUGUCCUUAUGUACUUCUGUUGCCAUAUCAGGGAUUUUGUGCCUCAAAAAAUGUUCCCAAGGUCGUAUGUUUAUAUUUGUUUU